rnacentral:rRNA from 1 species
UAUCUGCCGUGGGCGCUGGAGAACUGAGGGGGGCUGCUCCUAGUACGAGAGGACCGGAGUGGACGCAUCACUGGUGUUCGGGUUGUCAUGCCAAUGGCACUGCCCGGUAGCUAAAUGCGGAAGAGAUAAGUGCUGAAAGCAUCUAAGCACGAAACUUGCCCCGAGAUGAGUUCUCCCUGACCCUUUAAGGGUCCUGAAGGAACGUUGAAGACGACGACGUUGAUAGGCCGGGUGUGUAAGCGCAGCGAUGCGUUGAGCUAACCGGUACUAAUGAACCGUGAGGCUUAACCUUACAACGCCGAAGCUGUU